rnacentral:rRNA from 1 species
GGAUGCGAUCAUACCAGCACUAAAGCACCGGAUCCCAUCAGAACUCCGAAGCUAAGCGUGCUUGGGCGAGAGUAGUACUAGGAUGGGUGACCUCCUGGGUAGUCCUCGUGUUGCAUUCC